AGAUAUCAUAUCAGUAAUCUAGUUUACUCUAUUCGCCGUUGCGAUUGCGAUAUACCUACCCGUAUAGGUGGAGGGUGUAAACCAAUUAUCGAAUUGGAAAAGUAAAAGAAGAGGCACUGUGAAAUUUAAACACAAAAUUAACGUCGUUUGUAAUUAUUCGACUCGGCCUAACCGUUGAGAGGCGUUUCGCCCCGACACCCCCUUCGAUACACCGUUUUAUCCCGCGGUCAACGUGUUUGCGCACAUCGCGUUGAUUUAUGUUACGCAUU